rnacentral:rRNA from 1 species
AGCAGCCGCCACGGUAAGACAGAGGAUGCAAGCGUUAUUCGGAUUGAUUGGGUGUAAAGGGUGUGCAGACGGCUUAUUAAGUCACUUGUUAAAUUCUUCGGCCUAACUGAAGGUCUGCAAGUGAUACUGAUGAGCUAGAGGGUGGAAGAGAGAAGUGGAAUUCUCGGAGUAGCGGUAAAAUGCGUAGAUCUCGAGAGGAACACCAAUGGCGAAGGCAGCUUCUUGGUCCAUUCCUGACGUUCAUACACGAAAGCGUGGGGAGCAAACAGGAUUAGAUACCCCAGUAGUCCCUGUCUCUUAUAA